AUGAACGCUAGCUACAGGCUUAACCCCUGCAAGUCGAGGGGAAACGGCAUCGAUAGCUUGCUUUUGAUGUGCGUCGACCGUCGCACGGGUGUGUAACGCGUAUCCAACCUGCCCAUCACUUUGGAAUAACCUUUCGAAAGUAAGACUAAUGCCCAAUUACAUCCCACGAAGGCAUCCGAAUUGUUUUAAUGAUUUAUCGUUUAUGGAUGGGGAUGCGUCUGAUUAGCUUGUUGGCUGGGUGACGGCCAACGAAGGCAACGAUCAGUAGGGGUUCUGAGAGGAAGGUACACCACAAGGGAACAGAGACACGGAGCAAAAACCUACGGGAGGCAGCAGUGAGGAAUAGUGGGGAAGGGGAGAGAGAAUGAAAAAGCCAAGUAGAGUGAAGGAGGACGGGGAUAUGGGUUGUAAACUGCUUUUAUAAGGGAAUAAAGUGGGUAAAGGGUGACUUUUUGAAGGUACCUAAUGAAUAAGGACCGGCUAAUUACGUG
rnacentral:rRNA from 1 species